rnacentral:tRNA from 2 species
GCUUCGGUGGCUCAGUAGGUAGAGCGCGUCCUUGGUAAGGACGAGGUCGCGGGUUCGAUUCCCGCCCGAGGCU